AACGAACGCUGGCGGCAGGCCUAACACAUGCAAGUCGAGCGCGCCCUUCGGGGUGAGCGGCGGACGGGUGAGUAACGCGUGGGAACGUGCCCUUCUCUGCGGAAUAGCCUCGGGAAACUGAGAGUAAUACCGCAUACGCUCUUUGGGGGAAAGAUUUAUCGGAGAAGGAUCGGCCCGAGUUGGAUUAGGUAGUUGGUGGGGUAAUGGCCCACCAAGCCGACGAUCCAUAGCUGGUUUGAGAGGAUGAUCAGCCACACUGGGACUGAGACACGGCCCAGACUCCUACGGGAGGCAGCAGUGGGGAAUCUUAGACAAUGGGGGCAACCCUGAUCUAGCCAUGCCGCGUGAGUGAUGAAGGCCUUAGGGUUGUAAAGCUCUUUCAGCUGGGAAGAUAAUGACGGUACCAGCAGAAGAAGCCCCGGCUAACUCCGUG
rnacentral:rRNA from 1 species